AGUACAAUGUCUGCCUUUGGCUGAUGACCUUGAUGCCAUCCUUCCACGCCAGAAUCGCCACUUGACCUUCGCUUCAACAGGAUCGCAGCCACUGGUCUCACUGUUGCCGGUGUCAUUGCGGCACCUCUUCACCUUCGAGCAUCAAUACUGGGCUUAACUGGCCUGGGGUUUAGCCCUGCCAACAAGCGCCGGUAGGAGCUGUAGCACCACCGUUGCUGGUAGAAUCCUCCAGAGUAAGGCCUCCGGGCGAAGCCAAUGCCGCCAGAGACAUAGAAUACCACCAACAUGCUUCUACAGAUAUCUAAGGUUCCUGAAUGACAAGGAGUUGCUGCAGCAGGUCCUCAAGAGCAUGGACUUUAAAGCCAAUCUCAAUACUAAAGGAGGUCGCCAACCGACAGCGUUAAGUGUGGCUGGUGUUGGCGGCGGGCGAUGAGGUUUCACCGCCGUUGUUCCGGCAAUCGCCAAUUAGAGGCCAUUUCGCGACAAAUCAGGACUGUAGCUAGUGUGUUUUGAAGACAGGGCCUUUGCUGUUAAGAUAGGGGCGCUGUCCCAUCUGCCUUGACCCUGCCCCUUGAUAUCUACACCAUAUCAGAAACAGCGGGGACAUCCGCCCAUGAUGCAUUCCCGGAGAAGGUGCAACGGAACUUCAUGCUGUG